AAUCAGGAUAAAAACGGUGGUUCGUAACUGCGUCGUAAGUGGGAAGGGUAAAGAUUUAACCCUAUGUCAAGGGGGAAAUUGACUAUAAUGAAAUAAUUUAAUAAAGACUGUGACAGAUUGAAUUCUGUAGCCGUAUUAAAAUGAAUCACACUACAUAUCGACUAUUUGAAAAAUAAUCAAAUCUUUAUAAAUAUCCAGACGAAUUAGAUCUCCAGUUGCGGUCGCCGCCACUGUAAUCUCGCCCUUUUCUAAAAUGAAGAAAAGGAAACUCUUUUGGCACGUAGCAAAUGUCACUGUCCCGCACCUAUGCAUAGGUGCGGGAUGGGAAGACAGCCAAAAGGGCAGGGAAGCCAGGAGACCUAUCACCAGUCAUACAGGAGG
rnacentral:ncRNA from 1 species